AUGGCCGACGCCGACGCCGGCGAGGUCCUCGACGCCAUCGCCACGAGCACCCACGCCUUCGACGCGCAGCGCCACCCCACCGCCGAGAGCGCCCUGGCCUCCGACGCGCAGCACCAUCCCGCAGCCGAGAGCGCCCUGGCAUCCGACGCUCACCACCACCUCGCUGCUGAGAGCGCCCUGGCCUCCGACACCCAGCAGCACCCGGCCGCCGUCACGACCACUGCGCCAGCCCAGGAAGCGGUGCCGCCCGAGUUCCACCACCACUUCAUGCACCUGCGCGGGGAUGACGCCACGGGGAAUUUCCUGGCCGCCGCGGUGAAGAGGGCCGAGGACGCCAUCACCGACGAGUACGACGCGAGGGGUGCUUUGGAGGUCAACACACUGGACAUGGCAGGUGGAGAGAGAAAGCUGGCUGACCAUGAUUUGCUGCUGCAUGAGCUGGAGAAGAGUGAUGAAUUUUCACCUCAACUUUAG
rnacentral:rRNA from 1 species